rnacentral:rRNA from 1 species
AUUGAACGCUGGCGGCAGGCCUAACACAUGCAAGUCGAGCGAGAAAGUCCUUCGGGGCGAGUACAGCGGCGGACGGGUGAGUAACGCGUAGGAAUCUACCUGGUAGUGGGGGACAACAUGGUGAAAACCAUGCUAAUACCGCAUACGCCCUAUGGGGGAAAGCGGGGGAUCUUCGGACCUCGCGCUAUCGGAUGAGCUUGCGUAGGAUUAGCUUGUUGGUGAGGUAAGAGCUCACCAAGGCGACGAUCCUUAGCUGGUCUGAGAGGAUGAUCAGCCACACUGGGACUGAGACACGGCCCAG